rnacentral:rRNA from 1 species
CAAUAGCGUAUAUUAAAGUUGUUGCAGUUAAAAAGCUCGUAGUUGGAUUUCUGUUCUUGGGAUCUGGUCCGCCUCACGGUGAGCACUGGAUAACUGGGGUCAUCCUCUCGAAGGCGGCAGGUGCACUUGAUUGUGUGUUUGUUGAAUUCGGGACCUUUACUUUGAAAAAAUUAGAGUGUUCAAAGCAGGCGUCGGCUUGAAUACAUUAGCAUGGAAUAAUGGAAUAGGACUUUGGUUCUAUUUUGUUGGUUUCUAGGACCGAAGUAAUGAUUAAUAGGGACAGUUGGGGGCAUUAGUAUUUAAUUGUCAGAGGUGAAAUUCUUGGAUUUACGAAGGACUAACUACUGCGAAAGCAUUUGCCAAGGAUGUUUUCAUUAA